GUGACAAUAUUGCAUUAAUAAGAUCACAAGUGGCGGAUAUUCGCGAGGAGCAAGAACGUCAGGCAAAUAUUUUGGAAGGUUCUGCUCUAUCUCUUGAGUCUGCAAAAGUACCAAAGGAACUGAUCACCAAAACUAAUGACGAAGUGUGUUCUAUUUUAUCAAUAUGCAACAAUCUAGCAGCUUUAAGCUCGGAGCUGGCUGCAGUGCGGGCGGAGCAAGAGCGUCAGG